CUUUCCUAGGCAUGUAAGAAACACAAAUGCACACAAACACAGCAGCACAGGAAGAUGAAGACCAUGGAAAGAGGAGACAGGAGAAUGAGGUGAAAAAACCCAAAUAAUGCUUUUCUGUGGAUCUCCCAGGAGACAUUCAGAUCAUUUUAGCUGUGCUGAGACGCUAGUCUUAAGGAGUCUCCAGAUUUCUCAGCCCUGCAUUACUCUGUCAUCACAAGAGCUUUUCUGUCAGCAUAUGAGCUUUUCUCUACAUGUCAGUGACAAAAAUGUUGGCCUCAUUUACACUGCAGAAGAACCACACUUCAGUGCACAGCUGAAGUGAAAAUGAGUAGAAAGAAA